UACGGAGGGUGCAAGCGUUAAUCGGAAUUACUGGGCGUAAAGCGCACGCAGGCGGUUUGUUAAGUCAGAUGUGAAAUCCCCGGGCUCAACCUGGGAACUGCAUCUGAUACUGGCAAGCUUGAGUCUCGUAGAGGGGGGUAGAAUUCCAGGUGUAGCGGUGAAAUGCGUAGAGAUCUGGAGGAAUACCGGUGGCGAAGGCGGCCCCCUGGACGAAGACUGACGCUCAGGUGCGAAAGCGUGGGGAGCAAACAGGAUUAGA
rnacentral:rRNA from 1 species